GUACAUGCUAAAUUAAGAACAUUUUUGAGCUGAAGAGUUUUGAUUAUGUAUUUGCAUCAAUAGGAGUCUGAGGGUUAAUGAUUUAUUUGACAGGAUAGUGUGGGGAACAAAAGACGGGCAAAUAAGUAUGAGUUUUUUAUCCUAUUGCUGUCUUAGACAAGAUGAUAAAUCUGCUAAACUGUUAAGUUGGUCAGUAUUUAAAAAUCUUUUUUACUUUUUUUGUUUUUGCUAUCAUACUAAUUUAAAUAUUACAGUAACUGAAAGCUUUAAUACUUUGACAGAUUAGCCGAGUUGUCCUGCAAAAACCUGCAAUACCAGUUCAAGUGGAGAUACUGAAGUGGACUCAGAUGACACCAUAAUAUUACAACUCAGUCCUACAACAAGACGAAGAGUUGAAGACACCUCUCUUGCCAAAGUGGUUGCUGUCAUUGGUGAGGAUGCAUCAUCCGUUGAAGGUCAUGUGAAUAUCCUGCAUAUCCAGUACAGCAAGGUGCGAGAGGAUAUACUAAAGAAGUACCCUUUCUUGAAGACAACCUCGGGGUUGUUUGAUGAUGUUGACCGAAUGC